rnacentral:rRNA from 1 species
UGGGAGCACAGGUUUACCUGUGUGACUGCGUACCUUUUGUAUAAUGGGUCAGCGACUUAUAUUCUGUAGCAAGGUUAACCGAAUAGGGGAGCCGGAGGGAAACCGAGUCUUAAUUGGGCGUUAAGUUGCAGGGUAUAGACCCGAAACCCGGUGAUCUAGCCAUGGGCAGGUUGAAGGUUGGGUAACACUAACUGGAGGACCGAACCGACUAAUGUUGAAAAAUUAGCGGAUGACCUGUGGCUGGGGGUGAAAGGCCAAUCAAACCGGGAGAUAGCUGGUUCUCCCCGAAAGCUAUUUAGGUAGCGCCUCGUGAACUCAUCUCCGGGGGUAGAGCACUGUUUCGGCUAGGGGGCCAUCCCGGCUUACCAACCCGAUGCAAACUGCGAAUACCGGAGAAUGUUAUCACGGGAGACACACGGCGGGUGCUAACGUCCGUCGUGAAGAGGGAAACAACCCAGACCGCCAGCUAAGGUCCCAAAGUCAUGGUUAAGUGGGAAACGAUGUGGGAAGGCCCAGACAGCCAGGAUGUUGGCUUAGAAGCAGCCAUCAUUUAAAGAAAGCGUAAUAGCUCACUGGUCGAGUCGGCCUGCGCGGAAGAUGUAACGGGGCUAAACCAUGCACCGAAGCUGCGGCAGCGACACUGUGUGUUGUUGGGUAGGGGAGCGUUCUGUAAGCCUGUGAAGGUGGCCUGUGAGGGUUGCUGGAGGUAUCAGAAGUGCGAAUGCUGACAUAAGUAACGAUAAAGCGGGUGAAAAGCCCGCUCGCCGGAAGACCAAGGGUUCCUGUCCAACGUUAAUCGGGGCAGGGUGAGUCGACCCCUAAGGCGAGGCCGAAAGGCGUAGUCGAUGGGAAACAGGUUAAUAUUCCUGUACUUGGUGUUACUGCGAAGGGGGGACGGAGAAGGCUAUGUUGGCCGGGCGACGGUUGUCCCGGUUUAAGCGUGUAGGUGUGUGUUCCAGGUAAAUCCGGUUCACUUUAACACUGAGGCGUGAUGACGAGGCACUACGGUGCUGAAGCAACAAAUGCCCUGCUUCCAGGAAAAGCCUCUAAGCAUCAGGUAACAUCAAAUCGUACCCCAAACCGACACAGGUGGUCAGGUAGAGAAUACCAAGGCGCUUGAGAGAACUCGGGUGAAGGAACUAGGCAAAAUGGUGCCGUAACUUCGGGAGAAGGCACGCUGACACGUAGGUGAAGUGAUUUACUCACGGAGCUGAAGUCAGUCGAAGAUACCAGCUGGCUGCAACUGUUUAUUAAAAACACAGCACUGUGCAAACACGAAAGUGGACGUAUACGGUGUGACGCCUGCCCGGUGCCGGAAGGUUAAUUGAUGGGGUCAGCGCAAGCGAAGCUCCUGAUCGAAGCCCCGGUAAACGGCGGCCGUAACUAUAACGGUCCUAAGGUAGCGAAAUUCCUUGUCGGGUAAGUUCCGACCUGCACGAAUGGCGUAAUGAUGGCCAGGCUGUCUCCACCCGAGACUCAGUGAAAUUGAACUCGCUGUGAAGAUGCAGUGUACCCGCGGCAAGACGGAAAGACCCCGUGAACCUUUACUAUAGCUUGACACUGAACAUUGAGCCUUGAUGUGUAG